rnacentral:lncRNA from 1 species
UCCUAGAUCGAAGGAGCUAUGGAUCGCAUCGGAGGGGGGUUGUGGAUGCUCGGCAUAGAGCCGUAGGAGUUUAAAAUAAAUUUUUAAAUAAUAAAAAAAUAUUAAUUUUUAAAAAUGUAUGGGUGGGUGUGGAAGAGCGACGGCUGGGCGGAGGAGCCGCAAGUGGCGUCGGAGCGGGGUGUGGGUGUUCGAUACUGAGGGGAGAAAAAAGAAACAAAAAAAAAUUAAAAU